rnacentral:lncRNA from 1 species
UAGCUACCACUUUCUUUCAAUAAAUUAUUCAUCUCACUUAGCAAAUUCAAAUAUAAAAUAUAAAAUAUAAAACUUUCUUAUAAUGUCCCUAAACUUAAUUCCUAAAAUAUUGGUUUUAUAAUUCUUUUCACAAAUUGAAGUAAUAGACGUGUUUAUUUUAUGAUAUUGCCACCGUGUUAAAUUUAUAAUAAAUAUAUACAAUCAAGAGUCUAAAUGUUGAAUAUGAGUAAAUGUUGGGUGCAGGAAUAGCAACAGCAGCAGUUAAUGCCAGUGGCAAACCAAUAACAAGGCCAGUAUUUGGAUGCGGCCGUGGGAAUCGAUACUGUCUCCCCGCUAGGCCUAGUCCUCCCAAAAAACCUUGUAAUACUUACGAGCGUUGUCCCCCUGCUGUUAGGCCUAGUCCUCCCAAAAAUCCUCCCAAAAAACCUUGUAACACUUACGAGCGUUGUCGCCCUGCUGUUAGGCCUAGUCCUCCCAAAAAACCUUGUAAUCGUUACGAGCGUGAUCCGCGGUGUCCCAACCCUUGAAGAUACAUAUACAGGAAAAAAAACUUACCUGAAUAUGGUUCAUGUUCCACUGUUGGACCAAGCAGAUGAAAUUUAGAUUUCUAAAAAGAGCAGAGACAUUGAUCGAAUUUAAGUAAGUUUUUCUAUAAAGAGCGAGGACAUGAAUCGGAUCUAGGUAAGUUUUUUCUUAUAUGAGGGUAUCCUCAGUCCUUUUCAUCAUCAUUUUAUACCUAAUUAUGACUAAAAGUGAGUUUGUAAUCAACUUGCAAGCUACAUAUGUGCUGAGGUGUUUCUCUUUGAAGUUUACCUCUCUCUCUCUCUCUCUCUCUCUCUCUCUCUCUAUAUAUAUAUAUAUAUAUAUAUAUAGUAAUUUUUCUGAAAGAAUAAUUAAGCUUAGAGUGGAAAUUAUGUGUAUGAAUAAGAUGAAGUGGUCUCUUCUAAGGAUUUUUGUCUUCGGUUAAUCAUAAAACAAAAAUAUGUAACAAUGUGAUCUUCUAUCUAUAUGUGGAGAAUAAAAGACUAUGUAUGUCUUUUUUUUUUUUUUUUGUAAGAGGACGAUGUUACAUAUAGGGUGCAUAUUUGGACUAUGUUUAUUAAUUUUAUCAAUUUAGUUAUCCAUUCUACACUUAUUAUUUUUGAAAUUUUAUUUAUUUUUAUUUUUAAAAAUACUAAAAAUUACGUUUUCCUUUUAUUAAUUUGAUUUUUAUAAAUAAAAUUGCUUUUCUAAUAUGGCAAGUAAUCUGUGGCACAAAAUAUUACUCUAGUUAUUAGUUGGGUAUUACAUAAUUCAUAUCUAUAAAUUAAAAUGAAAAGAUUUUUUUUUAUUCAUUAAAAGGUCCAAUGAGCGAAAUAAUAUUAUGGGCUACAUAAGAGUAGUCCUCUUCUUAAUCAUCAAAUUGAUAAAAAGUGUUAUAGUCGAGAGGACUCAAAUACAUGAUUGAGAAGACGAAUCAGAAAAUAUUAUUAUGAACAACAUAAUUCAUUAACAAAAUGAAUUUUAUAUUAUUAGAAAAACUUUUUUAACUAUACACAAGUAAAAAUAUUAAAAGCUUCAAAAUCAUAGAUAAGAAUUUUGUGGUAACACAUCAACAAAAGAAGAAAAAAGAAAAGACACUUUUAUUAUUUCAAUUUAAUAUAACUUUCUUUUCAAUGUCCAAUAAUAAUUAUUGAGUUUCUUUUCAAUGUUUGAUCAAAAUUCUUAUUUCUUUACUUAUUUUAUUCCAUCUACUAAACAUAUAAAUUGAAAUAUCUAUUUUUAUUAUUAGUCCUGGCGGUGCAAAUUCGUAAGUGUACGAAAUCGCAAAUAAAUAAUAAAAAAUAGUAGAGUAUCGUUCCAUGAAAAUUAUAUGUUAAUGAUCAAAAUUGUGUUAAUCUAUCAUUAUUUACACGACAACAAGGAUAAUAUAUUUGAAAAUAAAAGAAAUAAAAUAGAACAAUAAGCGAGAAAUCAAAUAAGUAAUUAUUGAAAGAAAUCAAGGUUUAAAGGUUACUAGGAAUUUUGACUUCACUUAAUUCUAUUCAAUGCAUCAUGUUAGUUUGAUAAAUUUUAAUUAUUCAAGAAGGAGAAAUAACCCUAAAAUCGCUAAUAAGUUCUCUCGAUAUUUUAUUAGCUAUUUUAACCAAUUCAAUUACCCAUCUCUUAAUGACACAACUAAAUAUAAAUUAAAUUAUUAAGUUUUAUGAUUAUUCAGGAAUUCACAGAUUAAUACUUUUAAUUUUAUAAAAACUUCUCACAAGUCAAAUUAUUUAACUCUCGCAUUAAUUUAUUAUUCCCAAAAAAUUUAUUAUUCUGUUCAUAUCAAAGACCUUUCUCUCGAUAAUGAUUAAUAAAAUAAAUUAAUCUAUGGGAGAAAUUCUUUCUGGAAAUAUUAAAAUCAAUAAUAAAUUUUAUUUAAAUAAAGAAAAUUAAAUCUAAUAUUAUGAAUUAGAGUUGAAUUUAAGCUACGUCAUAUCCCGCUAAAAAAGAUUUAGUUGGACAUAUAAAAAUUUAAUUUCUGGCUAUGUGGACAAUAAAUGUUCUCGAUGACAGUGUCUUUUAGAACUUUAAUUUCUGGCUUAAUUGCACUUUCUUAGUACUUAUGUGUUAUUUGUACUUUGAUUAUAUAUAUAAAAAAAAAAACUAUUAAUGCAAUAAAAUUAGUCUAUCCAUUAUAUUUAGGUAUAUGGACUCUUAAUUUAAUUUCUUAUUAUACUGAUUCGCUUUUCAAUAAUAGAAGUUUCUUUCUUAUCUAUCUUAAUUUACAUUAAUGAUAUAAUUAGAAUUUAUUUAUAACCCAUAGGCCAUAUAUAAAGAUACAUUAAAAUUUUGGUUUAAUGGACGUAACAUUUUAUUUCAAAAAAUUAUGAGAAAAAAAAUGAUACCUGAUAUUAUAAAAAAAAAUACAUUAAAUAUAGAUAGCUUAUUUUCUAGUAUCCAUUACCAGGGAUAAUCUGAUCUGACUCGAGACUUAAUUACAGUUAAGGCUUUUCGGCGCUCCCUGCAGGUGUGUUUAGUGGGAUUGAAUCCCAAGAGCUCUUUUCACAUGCCCAACUAGGUUUUUUUUUUUUUUUUUAAAUACCUUUUAACUUUUUUAUAUUAUGAAUGAAAUUUGAAAACCUUUUGAAAAUACAGAUAUGAUAUACAUCCAAUAAAUGUUAUUUAAUAUUUAUAUAGAUAGGCAAAAAUAUAGAAUCAUCUCCAGAUGCGAAAGCCUUUCUCCUAAUAUGCAUACUGUUGGCUACCAUUUUCUUUUUCCUUACUUUCACUGCGGUUGGUCAAAUAGAUAAGAACUAGCUAACUAGCUACCCACUUUGUAUUUCCACAAUCUAAAAUAUUAGUAUUAUCAGAAUCUUAUGAUUCAUUAUAUGAAUCUUACGAUUCGAUUCAAUUUUCAUGCUAAACAAUUUGAAUCUUAUGAUUCGAGUCGAUUCUCAUAUCUAAUGAUUCACUUACGGUCUUACCUAACAAAUUCAGUAAAAAAAUCAAUAUAAGUCAAUAUAGAGAAAUCGAAAACGAAGCAGGAGAAUUUAGUUAUAUUAAAAGGUGAACAUAAUGAGGGCUUGAAUUUGGAAAUGAUAAUGAAUAUUAUGGAUUUGGAUAGGAAAUUUUAAUGGCUUUAUAGUUUUACUUUGUUUUAUGUUAAAAUUUUGAACUUGAUAGUUUGAUAUUUUAAACUUACAUGACGCAAGUCAUUAAAUUCUUUUCAUUUUGUAUUUGGUAAAUAAUUUAGAAUUGAAAUUUAUAUAAAUACAUUAAUUAUUUACACUUAAUUUUUAGUAUCAUAUGGUAGAAUUAAUACUGAAUCUUACGAUUCGAUUCUCGAUCCUUGAUUCUAAAAAUAAAGAUUUCAAAUAAAUUUCCACCACAUAAUAUUUUGAUUUGUCCGACAGUCUACUAGUGAAUCUCUGGCUAUGUCUUGCAUUGACUUGGAGUCAAUUUCGUAAGUCUAUUUUCCCGGCUUUGCUAUAAUUAUUAAUUUAUUAAUUUAUUAUAAUAGCCAUACAAGUACUUGAAAAAUGUAGGAUCAUCUCCAACAUGAAGGCGGCCUUUAUCCUAGAGAAUUAGCUGCUAUCGAGAAAGGUAAGAACUAGCUAUCUCUUAAAAAUGUUUCCUGGAAUAAUCUUUUAUUGUUAUUAUUAUUAUUAUUAUUAUAGACCCAAACUGAACUUAAAUAUGCAAAAGUUUACAAAGGUUCAAGCCAGACAAGUUUAUAAUUUUUUUUCAUAAAUUGGAGUAAAAAACGCGUUUAUCUUGUAAUAGUGCACUUAAAUUUACAAAAAAAUAUAUGCGAUGGAGAGUUUAAAUUCUCAUUUUAAUAAUUUUUGUCAUUCAGCUUUUUCGCUUCGUUCAAAUUUGAAAGUGAUUAUUCUGCAAUUAAUCUUUGGACAGACACUAAAUUUUCUAAUGAUUAUCAAUAACUUUUUUUUUUUUUUUUCAAUUAAUGCUUAUCAAGAAAAUUAAGAAUGAUUACUGUUCAUGUAGCCAUAAAUAACGCAAUAAACUAGACAUCAAAGAGCGCAAAAAGUUUAAACCAUACCCUAAAAAAUGAAGGCUUUUAUCAUAAUAUGCAUUAUCUUGGCAACUGCUCUCUUCUCUCCCUUUCUCAUCACAGCAAGAGAAUUAACAGAGGAUGGUAAGCUUUGAAUUUGUGACUGUAAUAAUAUUUUUAACAUCACAUAGCUUAUGCUAACACGUAUGUAUGGAUGUGAUUUUUUUUGCAGGAAAAGGCAAUGUUACCCUUCCAUUUCCAAAACCCAAAGGCAAGCCAAUUGAAUGCAGUGGCAAAUAUUGCUUCCCUUUAAAGCCCCCACGCAUUGAAAAGCCUUGCACUAAGCCUCUGCCCCAAUGCAAUUAAUUAUCUAUCUAUCUAUCUAUAUAUAUGUGAAAUAAAUAUGUAUUUCUCAAUAAAUUGUUCAGAGGAUAUCUUUGAACCUAAGCCAAGUCUAAUAGAGGAUUUCUUUGGCUUUGCAAAAUCCUUAUUACAUGCAAUCCCAUCUUACAAUAGUAUAUAAUAACUCUUAAUUCAAGUUUUCGGAGUAAAUAUUGUUAAAUACCAAUUAAUAUUAAAAUUCACAAAUCUUAUUGCAGGCAUUUGGAGUUAUUUUUUAUUUAAAAGAAAAUAUAGAAAUUUCGUUAAGAAUAAGAAUAAAUCAAUCUGAAAAAUAUAACCAGUAGAGGAUGAAACUUCCUCUAUCCAAAAGAGCUCUUUAUGAAUAGAAGAGAGAACUUCUUUAAUUAAAGCACGCGAGAGCUCUUUACCAACUCGACAGUGAAUCCUCAAAGGAUUAAUAAUCUAUUUCCAAUCUCAGAAUGAGGGAUUUCAUAUUUCUGUAGCAAGUUAAUCAAAGAAAAUAUUGCAUGCCAUUAACAGUUUUUACUUUUUAUUUAUUUAUUUCCCCUUAACAUAUUUAUUUAUUUCUUCUUUAAUUAGUUUUUGUCCACGGUCUAGUCUAUGGAUAACGUGGUAGGUACAAUCUACAUAAGAAUUAUUGCCGCCUUGUAACCAUAUAUUUCUUCAAAUGUAUACUACUUUUUGAUUAAAAUUUGUUUAUAUUUGGUAUAUGACUCUAAAUUAAUUGAAAAAAAAAUUAAUAUAAUGGUGCAGCCAAAAAAUAUAAUUUGUAAUUUUACCUCUAUUUCAAAUAGAGACAACUGUCCAGUCUUUUAUUUAUAUAUAGAUAUUAUAAAAAUAAAAAUAUUAAAUGUAUAUUUGAAAUAAGUGAUUUUGUUAAAUGAUAUUUAUUAAGGUUAUUUUUCAUUUAUAGUUGCAUGUAUAUAGUUUUUGAUAGGAUUUUAUAUUUUUGCUUCCUCAUAUAAGUUGAAUGAAAAGAUAUAUCCAAUUCUAAACUCUUAUCCAUAAUUUUUUUAUCAUUAAUUAGAAGUCAUAAAUGUGUCUUUAAAAUUAAUUACAUUCAGUUUCAUUAAUAAUCCCAAAUAUUAAUUAAUUAUAAAUAAUUUAAAUACAUUUAAUUGUAAAAAUGUAGUUAAAUUUCAAUUUUGUAAUAAUUUUAUAAUUUCCAUACUAGCAAUAAUAAUUUUUAAGAUUUUUAAUUUUUAUAUGUAAAAUAUAGAUUUGAUAUGUGAUUAAUAUAGUUUUUAAAAUGAUAAUUUUAAUAUCUUCAACUAAUAAACAAGUGUUUUAUCAAUUUAAUUUUACAAGUUGAACUGAUCAAUGGACCAAAAUAGAAAGUAAAGAUACUAUAAAAUUUUUCAUAAAAAGUAUAUAAAUAAAUUUAUAUACUGUGCCGUUUUCAAAAUGAAAUUAAAUUUAUAUUUCAUAUUGCGAUGAUGAUUUCAUACACACACAUAUAAUUUCUACAACAAAGUAAAAAUUUCUUUAAUUUCUUUAUAUAAAAUUUUUCAUUUGGUUUUAAUGUUGUGACUUCCUAAAAAAUUUAUGAAAUUUAAUUAUUAAAUUUCAUAUAUGUUAUAAUUAUUUAUGUUUAUAUAAUGAUGCCUGGUCGAUAUGCUAAGGUGAUAACCUAUUUAACUUGUAAUUUUUAUUUUUCACACAUCAGAUUAUUGAUAGAUUUGCGAUGUGAUUUAAUAAUAUAUUUAGAAUUGUUCAUAUCUUAUAACAAAAAUAUUUGAUAGCAAAAAAAAUUUAUAUUGAUAAUAAAGAAUUGAAUUAUAAUCCAUUCAAAAAAAAAAAAAAAGGAAUUGAAUUACCAUGGACAAUUGGACAUACAAGAAACAUAUAUAAUUUAGAAAAUUUUAAUGAAAAAUCUUUUUUUUUAAUUCUAUGCAUAAUUGAAAUUAUCUUAAUAAUAUUUCAAUUUUAUCAAAUUACUAAUAUUUUUUUGAAGUAUUAAAAUUUUGAUCUUUUGUCCGUUAGAUAUGCAAGUGUUAGCUACCUUUCCCCCCAAAACUAUGUUUGAGAGGAUGGAAAAUGGGUGAAGAAUAUUUUUUUUUUUUUUUUUGAAGAGAAAAUGGCCACUAUUUUAUUAAAUGUAGUGGGAAAGGAGAACAUCAGGGACACUCUCCCAAAUACAAAGUGGUAAAAAGCGAAUGGAUGCUCUAGCAAGGGAAUGAGCAGCACCAUUCAUAGUACGCCGAAUCCAUCUAAUCUGAAUAUCCGGCCUAUCAACUAAGAGUUACUUACAAUCUUUCACAAUAACCCCAAAUUCCGAAAGAUCUAAAGUUUUAGAAUUCAAAGCACAAAAUAAAACCUGGCAAUCAACAAAAAUAUAACCACUAGACUGAUAAUGAUUACCAAUAAAAAGUAGAGCAGAACGAAGAGUCAAAGCUUCAGCUGUAGCAGGCUGUUUGCAUCCUGCAGAAUGAGUAGACACAGCUUGUAAGAACCUGCCUUCACUAUCCUCAAACACCACCGCAGCACCUGUUACAUCUUCGCUUUGAAAUAGUGAAGCAUCACAAAAUGCAUGCCAACUAACAUUAUUCAAGUUGACACAUGGCCCCACACUUGGCCCAUUUCCAUGGAAAAGUAUUUGUCUUGUAGCUACAUUUAAAUUAUCAAAAGAAUGCCAUUCCAUACAAUGGGUAGAAACUAUACAGGCAAUCUGGGUGGGUUGCACCAAUUUUGCCGACCAGCAAAAUGUAUUUCUUGCCUUCCAUAAAUGCCAAGCCAGAAAAGCCAGUAGUUCGGCUUUUUGUUGUCCAAGGCCAUCCCAACACUGCAUGAAUAAAUCAAUAAAAGUUGCAGUCACACUGGGAAUAUUAAAACCAAGCAAACUCCAACAAGCAUUUGCCCGAACACAAUGACAUAACACAUGGUCACCAUCUUCUCUUGAAGGACAGAAAAAACAAAGAUCAUUAACUGCUAUACCACGUUUUAGAAGGUUAGAUUUUGUAGGGAGGACAUCUCUACAAGCCCGCCACAAAAAAUCCCUUAUUUUAGGAGGGAUAUUAAGGCUCCAAAUACGUGUCCAUAACCGUGGAUUCCCAACAUUCUGGCUAUCUCGUACCAGACCCAUACUAACAUGAUAUCCAGAUUUAACCGUAUACACUCCACGCUUCUCAUAAUGCCAUAAAACCACAUCCUCCACCAUAUGAAUAAAUAAAGGUAUAGACAAAAUAGCCUUCACAUCUCUAGCAGAAAAUGAAGUCAUCAACUUGCCUACAUCCCACCUUUUCUCACCAUCCACAAAAAAAUCACAAACUCUAGUCACAGGAUUAAUGAAUCGAGUCCCAUCCUCCGCAAGAAAAGAGUCAGUCUUAGGGAUCCAAGGAUCCGAAGAAUAUAUUUAAUAGGCAUUACAAUCAAUAUAUAUUUUAUCCUUUUGAUGUACCAAGUCUAUAUUACAAACCACAUGCACUUUCAACCUAUUUUCUUUUCUCCUAUUUUUUAUCCUCUCUAAAAAGAACAUAAAUAUCUUUAGCAUUUCUUGCUCUAUUAUUGAUAAUAUGUGGAUGGAAUUAUGUUCGUACUGUUCAAAUAUCAAGAGAAUAUAUAUAUUACCAACAAACCGCUAAAUAAGUCAAAAUUUUUUUAAAUACAAUUAUAAACCUAAUUUUGAAAUACGCAGAUCAACCUGUCAGUUCCACGUGAACCUGCUUAAUACGCAGAUGAUUAACAUAAAUAUGAACACAACUCAUUUAGUAAUCAUAUUAAAUAUUUAAACAUGAAUACGACAUGAAAAUUAAAACAAUGAUACAAAUAGUCUACAUGUAAUUUAUUUAAUUAAAUGGAUCGUAUAUGAAAAAAAAAUAUCCAACUACUAGUUAAUUAAAUGGAUUUUAUACUGCUGAAAGAAUUUAUAUAUACAACACGUAUAAUCCGCUUAAGAAAUUAUCACUUUAAUUUUAAUUAAACGAGUUAGACGAAUUAUACGAGUCAACAUUUGAAACACAAUAUUUAUCGUAUUAUACACAAAUCAGUCAUUAAUGACAUAAAUUCAUUUAGACUCAACUUAAUCCGCUUAAGUUCUCUAUUAGAUGAAUUGUGUUCUCUUGAUAUGACCAUGUUAACACCCUAGAAACACAUAGCGUGUAAAUAAGGAAAUAUAUAUUACACAUGUGCCAUAAUGUGAUAACGAAAUCAAAUAAUUCAGUGAUGCAUGGUUUUGGAAUUAUGUGGCAUAUUGUAUGUUCUAGCUAUAAAUGUAAAUAAGGAAAUAUAUAUAACACAUGUGCCAUAAUGUGAUAACGAAAUCAAAUAAUUCAGUGAUGCAUUUUUCUUUUCUAGUGGAAAUUCAGUGAUGCAUGGUUUUGGAAUUAUGUGGCAUAUUGUAUGUUCUAGAUAUAAAUCUUUAUCAUUUAAUUAUUAUUAUUGUCAUCUUCAUUUUGUGGAUGCGACAUGCAAUUCAAAUUUGACGACUUCUGAAAAUUGACACGCAUGGCUGCCAUUAUUGCUGCUAUUAUUAUUUUUAAUUACAAUUCUCGGUAAAUUACCCAUAUAUAUAUAUAUAUAUAUAUAUAUAUUAAAAUUUAACUGAAAUUAAAAAAAAAUUUAGAUUUUUAGCAGUGUUUCUCUAUCUCUCUCUUUUUUGUGUUUUCUAACCAACAAUCCAUCUUUUCGUUUCUAUCUAUCGUUUUUUUUUUUUAAUUUAGUUUUCUUUCUAAUAAUUUCCAAAAGUUAGAAUUUAAUCUCUCAGAUGUAUGAUAGUUAAUAGAUCUUGAGUGUUUUUAGUAUCCUCUUAAUGGGGUUAUUAAUUUCUUUUCUUUCAUGUGGUUGUUUUUCAUUAUUAAAGAAUUUUUUUGUAUAUCUUUUAUUUUUCUGAUAGUUCGAAAUACAAGAUAGAUUGUUAGUUGCUUAUAGUUGAAAACUUCGUAUCUUCAAGUCAGCUAAGUUUUUUUUAUCUUAUUAUUGAAGUCUGAUAGUGCGACAUGUUCUUCCAUUAAAAUUUGGUAUAUUAAACUCUUCUAUGGGUGGUUCGUCCGGGGGAGAGAUCGAGCUUCAAAAAAUAGUGAAUGGCCUUAUCAAUACACAAAUGUUGAAAAGUUAUAAUAAAUUUUCAAAAAAAAAAAAAAAAAAAAAAAACAAUGUUGGGAUAAUAUUGUGAAAGGUUUCUUUUGUUGUACUAUUUGAAAGUGGAAUAAUUUUUAUCCGGAAGAUUAAUCUUUUCUACCAAAAUGAAGAACAUCUUCAAACAUAAGAUUUCUAUAUUUGUAUUUCUUAUUAUGAUGAACUUUAACUUAUAUUCAUUAUUAAUGAAUUGUUAAGUUAAAAAAAAAAAAAGAAAAAAGAAUUAAAAGCCAAUUUGGUCCCAAACUUAUUUAGUAGGACAAAAAAUGUCAGAUUUGACCUUUGAGCCAAUUUAACCCUUUAACUUAUAUAAAAUGAUUAAAAAGAUCCGAUUUCACAUUUUAGGAUAAUUUAACUCUUGAACUUGUUUUGAUUUUUAUAAAUUUUUAAUUGAUUUAAUUUACAUAAUUGACUUUUUAUCCAUUUUUAUCUUACACUAAAAACACCAAGAUCAAAAUUUUCUAAUACUUAAGAAUAUAAAUUUAAAAUCCAUAAAACAACAUUACUUAUAAUAUAAUAAAUUUAUAAAUAUGCAUUAUAACUUUAACUUAUUCAACACGAAAAAAUUAAUAGAUUUCAUAAGCCAUAACUCAACAAUAGAGAUUAAUUUUAAAUGUUCAAAUUAAACAUAUUUAUAAACUCAAAAUUAUCGAUCAAGGUAAAGAGAGAUACAAUAUACUUCAUAUAUCAUUUUUUAUAUUUUAUAAUUAAUUAAUUUUUUUACAAAACCCAAUUACAGUUUUACUAAAUGUCUAUACAAUAAUUUUCACAUGUAAGUACAAUGAAGAAUUAGAGGUUAAAUUUACUCAAAAUAUCAAAUAUGAACUUUUUUUAAUUAUUUUAAAUAAAUUUAUCGGUUAAAUUGAUCUAAAACAUUAAAUUUAAUUUUUUAAAUUAUUUUAAACAAUUCCAAGGGCUAAAUUGAUCUAAGAGGUCAAAUCUAACAUUUUUUAUCCUGGUAAACAAGUUCAGAUAAAUUAUCCUUUAUUCUUAAAAAUAAAAAAAAAAAAGGAUAAAAGUUCAGAUUCAAAUUGAUUUGAAAAUGUCAUUUCUAAACCAAAUGAAUGAACGGUUUCAAGUUUCAGCGUAAAGAUCUAAUUUAGCAUUGAAAUCACUCCCAAAUUAUUUAAAUUAUAAAACUAUUUUAAAAUUAAUUAUAAUUAUGUUUGCUGUUCAGUAUUAAAUAAUUUUAUGACAAACUUUAAUUUAUCAUUUAAGUGAAUUAAUUUAAAUUUUAAAUGAUAUGUAAAUACUGACAAUCUAAAUUAAAAGUGAAAGUAAUUGACAUUUUUAAUUUCAAGUGCAAAAUCAUAUCAUGAAGUAUCACAGUUUAAGUUCAAGCAUAUCAUAUGAAUAUGUGAAUCUAAAUUCUUUACUUCUAUAUACUCACCAGCUGCACUCAAUAAUUUAUGUAAGGAAAUGAUUAUAUAGUCGGUAUUUGUUCUUUCAAUAUAUAUAUAUAUAUAUAUAUAAAAUUUUUUAUAUUGAAAAUUUUAAAUAGAUAAGUCUUUUCCACAUAAAUAUUUAUUUUUAUAUUUUUAUUAUUUUUUUAAUUUUAUUUUCUUAUAGCUCUUUUUUUUAAAAAGAAAGGCAAUUUUUUUAUACUAAUUUGAUCUCAAAGUAAAAUAAAAAGAGAGAGACAAAAUUUUUAUACUAUUUUAGAUUGGUUGGCUUCUCAUGCUUUCUCUCUUGGCCUUGGUGUCCAUCCUCUUGAUUAUCCUCCUGCUGAUAUUUUUUCUUUGAUUGUUAAUGGUUGUUGAUGUCUUGCUUCUAGGCAUUCUAUCGCCUCUUGGAGCUCCCUUUAGUCCGCAAAAAAAAGAGAGAGACAAAAAUGAUAAUCUAAAAAAAUAUAUAGUGAAAAAUAAAGAAAUAAUUCUUUUCAAUUUUCCGACUAAAUACAUCUAAUUGGCAAUUGCUUUCAAAGAAAAAUGGCAAUAAUAAAAAAGAUUUUAGGAGUUGGGACAAAUUCAACAUGCAUUUAUGAAAUGGUAGGCCUUUCUGCCAUUAAGUCUAACAAUAGUUUUUAUUAUAUCACAUUUGAAAUUUCAUGUUUCUUUAGAAAAUCAUUGAAUUUAUCUAAGUUACAAUAAAUUAUUGAGUAAAUUGACUAUAUUAUCCAUAAUUUAAUACUAAUUCUUUAAGAAAACCAUUAAAUUGAAAUAAUAAUUAUGGGUCAUAUACAAAUAGUAAACCUAGAAACAUUUAUUACUCCUUGAAACCACAAAUGUAAUAUGUAUCUUAGAAUAAGCUAUUUUUUCAAUUGUGACAAGUAUUAUGAAAUAGAUGUAGUAUUUUUUUCCAUUUAGAUAACACUUUUAAAAAAUUAAAACAGUAUUAAUUAUUUUAUUUCUACUUUACUAUUUCCUCUAUUGGGUGAUUAUUUUAUCCUAAAAUAUAAGUUUUUUUAGUAUUUUAAGGAGCAAUAAAUAAUGUUUUUCCAAUUUUACAUUUAUGUUGAUUAGUAUUAAUGAUAAUUUGGUCAAAUUACCUUUAGUUUUGUUAUACUCUAAGAGAAUUAAUUGUUUCAUUCAUCCUUGUGCAAAAACCUUGAACGAGAGGGAGUAUUAUUUAAAUAUUUUCUCCUAAUUUUUUUUUAUAUCGAGACAUUGUUUAGCCCUUGGCAUUGACUAAGGGAGAGAUGUAGUUCCUGCUUUCUACCUCAGGUCUAUGCAAAUGCCUCUUCCAUAUAGAUCGGAAAAUUUUUUAAUCCAUAUGAGGCUAUGAUCUAUAAGCAUUGCAGGCCUAAGUCCAAGCAGAGUUGAUUAACUGUUUGGAUGCCCCAAGAAUCGAACCCUAAUUUUAUCUUUAAAUUAUAAAACAUUAUUUAAAAGGUAAUUUAUUAUCCUUAUUUCAUUUUCUUAAUUUUCAUGAAAAUGAAGUAAAUGUCAAAAUUAAUCGUAGGGAAUUUAAUAUCAUUUAUUUAUUACUAUACAUAAGAGUGAGUAGAGAAGAAGGAAAAUGCAAAGUGGCAAAAGAAUUCAAUCAUCUCUCAAAAUGAAGUCCCUUGUCGCAAUUAUAUGCAUUUUCUUUGCAAUGUUUCUCUUCUCUUCCUCUUUAACCACAGCUCGAGAAUUAACACAGACAACUGCAGGUAAUUAUUCACAAACACACACUAUUCUUACUGAUAAUAGUAAUAUAAUUUCCAUUUGCUUAGUUAUGUUUCAUAAAUUUAAGAAUUAUCCUUAAUUAAAAUUCUUUGUUAAUCUCAAUCAUAAAAAUACUGCUACCUUAAUGACUUGCAACUUCUUCAAACUAAAAAAAAAAACCCUUUGACAAUUAGUUACUUUUAUAAUAUGAAUUACCAACAAGUUUUGAUUCAACGAUAUUGAAGUCAUUUCUAGGGUUUGAGUUCUCUGAGUUCAAAAAUAUGUACGUGGAUUCUUUAAUUUCGUUAUAAAUAUAUUUAUUUUUAACUUUGACGGAAAAAUAAAUUUAACGUGUUAUUUAUAUAGAUGUGAAUGCCUUCGGUGAUGGUACUAUUGGCCAGAUCGAUAGUACUAUUGGCCAGAUCGACAAGCCUCAACCAAAGAAAGGGUAUCCAUACAAACCUUAUCCACGGAAGAAAAAGCCACCACCCAAGAAGAAGAAGCCACCGACGUAAAAGCCUUGUUAUCAAUACAAGUCCCAUGCUUAUGAAACAAGUAGUUCUUGAAAAUGGAUUUCUGUACGUGUGGACAAUAAAUGUUCUCGAUGACACUUUCUUGAGAACUUUAAUUUCUGGCUUAAUUGCACUUUCUUAGUACUUAUGUGUUGUUUGUACUUUGAUUAUAAAAAAAAUACUAUUAAUGCAAUAAAAUUAGCCUAUCCAUAUAUAUUUUAAGUAUAUGGAUUAUUAAUUUGAUUUCUAUUAUAUUAAUUCCAUUUUCAAUAAUGAAAGUUCCUUUCUUAUCUAUUUUAAGAAAUGAAGUGUUUGUGUAUAUCUGGUGGUUGGGCUAGUGAAUCUUUGAAACAGAGUGUCUGUGGCCCUGGAUAUAUUGGUGUGUUGAAUAAAUAUGGUAGAAUACUGGAGGAACUGACACUGAAUGCCUAAAUGGUUGUGGACCAUAACAUGUGGCAUGAAUGACAGAAGGGAGUUUUGAAGGUUGGUCAAUGGUAGCUGACGUUGAAGUUUCAUCCGAACUUGCAGACAUCCUAUCAAAAGAUAUUGGUUGCAAAUUCAAAUCCUUUCUCUUCAAAUAAUAUCAUAUGAAUUAGGAUUUUUUUUUUUUUUUUAAAAAAAGAAUCUUUUAACUUUUUUAUAUUAUGUAUGAAAUUUGAAAAUACACAUAUGAUAUACAUCCAAUAAAUGUUAUUUAAUAUUUAUAUAGACUAGCAAAAAUAUAGAAUCAUCUCCAGCACGAAGGUCUUUCUCCUAAUAUGCAUACUCUUGGCUACCAUUUUCUUUUCCCCUUCUUUCUACGGCUAGGGAAUUAGCUUGCUCAGAUGGAUAAGAACCAGCUAACUAGCUAGCUACUUUGUAUUUCCACAAUUUAAAAUAUUAUUGUUACCGGAUUCUUAUGAUUUAUGAUGUGAAUUUUAGGAUUUGAUUCAAUUUUCAUGUUAAACAAUUUGAAUCUUAUGGGUGAAUCGGUAUUGAUCGCAAAUCUUACGAUUCAAGUCGAUUCUCAUAUCCGACAAUCUUACCAAACAAAUCUAACGAAAAAGUCAAUACAAGUCAAUAUAGAGGAAAGAAGCAAGAGAAUAUAAGUAUAUUAGAAGAAAAAGAUAAAGAAGGGCUUGAAUUUGGAAAUGAUAAUGAAUAAACAUGGAUUUGGAUAAGAAAUUUUAAUGGCUUUAUAUUUUUACUUUGUUUUAUAUUAAAAUUUUUAACUUGAUAGUUGGAUUUGGAUAAGUCAUUAAGUUCUUUUCAUUUUGUAUUUAGUAAAUGAUUUAGAAUUGAAAUUUAUAUAAAUACAUUAUUUGCACUUAAUUUUUUGCAUCAUGUGACAGAAUUAAUGGAAAUAAAAAUUUCGAUUUUCAAUUUGAUAACUAUAGCGUUUAAUUAUGUUUUUUUAAAGUGAAAAAUAGUGUUUUUUUUUUUUUUUGCUCAACAUUUAUUCAACUCCUAAAAUGGUUUUAGAAGAAUCUUUUUUUUACCCAAUUAUUAAGCUAUUUUUGAGCCUAGACUAAAUUUAAGAAUGCAAAACAUGCAUUCUAGAAAAAUAAAUAAAGUGAAAAAAAUAGAGUAAAAUAUUGUUCAUUUUGAAUUUCCGACAAAAGGUUCAUCUAAUAAAUUUUAUCUAAUAAAUUUUAUUGAAUGAUAAUCUAAAAUAAGAUGUUAGAUUCAAAUUUCAUCGAUAUAGAUUUUUUUUUCAUUUAUUUAGGUAUAUUAUAAUUUUUUUUUUCUGAUAUGAGACAAAAAAUAUAAUUCUCUCAAUAAUUGGUUCAAUUGACAAGUCAACCUUGGUCACCUUUCUUUUUUUAGUAAUAUAGAGAGAUCAAAUCUUGAAAAUAAAAUUUACUCUACUAACACCAACUACUAGUUGAUCAGUAGGAUGAGUUGUUGGAUCCCCUAAACAAUGUCCAAAAUUCGAACUGGUACUGUUAAUAUAGAACACUGGAUUGGAAAGGUCACCUCCAUAAUAAACUUAUGCAGAACCUAAAAUAUAAGUCAUUUUUGGAUGAUUAUUUUGUACCAAUUAUUAUAUUUUGAGAUAAAUGGAAUAAUUUAUUAAUUUAUUAUAACAGCUAUACAAUUGCUUGGAAAAAUCUAUCCAUGGAUUUACUGUGGAGUCACGUUGUAAUUGAUCAAAGUCUUUGGCUUUAUAUAUUUUUUAACAUAUAGUUGCAAAUAAUUGUGUAUUUAUUGUGGAAACAAGUUGUAAUUGAUUAAGUCUUGGCUUUAUAUAUUUUUUAACAUAUAGUUGCAAAUAAUUAUUUUAUUACAAUUCAAAUUUGGCUUGCUGAUUUAUCACUAUAAAUAAGAGUACUUGAAGAAACACGUAAUUGCAAACAAAAAUAUAGAAUCAUCUCCAACAUGAAGAAGGCCUUUCUCCUGAUUUGCAUUCUUUUGGCUACCAUUUCCUUUUCCCCUUCCCUCACUUCAGCUAGGGAAUUAGCUGCUAUUGGGAAAGGUAAGAACUAACUACCUAGCCAGCACUUUCUUUCAAUAAAUUUUUCGUCUCAGUAAGCAAAUUCAAAUAUAAAAUUUUCUUAUAACGUCUCUUACGCUUUACUCUUAAAAUGUUUUUUUUAAUAAUAUUUUUUUUAUUAUUAAACCUAUUUACAGGCCAAGACUGAAGUAAUAAACGUGUUUUUUAUAAUAGUGCUGUUAAAUUUAUAAUAAAUAUAUGCAAUGGAGAGUCGAAAUUCUCCUUUUUAAUAAUUUCUGAUGUAUCUACCGACAUGAAUUAAUAUCAGAUGCAAGAAUACCAAUUCCAAAAGGGUGGCCGCGGCCAGGUAAGCCAACACCCCUACCAUUUCGAUGCAGCCCUGGGAAGAAAAAUUGUCUGCCUAAAUUCCCUCCCAAAAGAAGAAUGCAUGCCCCACCUCCCCCACGUUGAGGCCCUUACAUAAAGAAGGGUUGUGAUUCUCAUAUUACGAACCCUUGAAAAUAUAUAUAUAUAUAGACGAAGUCAUCUUCAUUUUAUACAUAAUAAUAAAUAAAUAAAAACAAAUGUUAUGGCCAAUCAAAUAUGGUUUGGUUCACUUAUAUGAGGAGCGAGAAGUUUCAAGUUUGAGUCAUUUUGACUAUAAGUGUUUUUAUUAAUUUAAUGAGUCAAUGGGAGGGUUAUCCCUAUUGUGUAUCCCGCAGUGUUAUUUUAGUCUAUUGUCAACUAUACGUCAAGACUUAUAUAUGUAUGCAGAUGUUAUCUUAGAACAUUGCCUCUUCUUAUAUGAAGUUUUUUAUUUAUUUACUUUGUGUUGCAUGUCGUUUACAUACUUAUAAUUUUACCUUCACAUAUAUAAUUUGUUAUCAUAUGAUCAACCGUUUGUAUUAUUAAACUCUCUCACAGUAUAAUCAUAUUUUAAAUUGGUUGGAUAAUUCAAAUUGAGGUGAGAAUUAAUGGUUUAAAUUGAAAAAUCAAAUUGUUUUUUGAUUUGCACAAUCAUUCUUAAACCUUGAACGAAAUAAUAAUACUCAAAAGAAAGUUAAUAUUUUUUUUAAUUUUUAAUAAAUCAAAGGUGUAAAGAACAAAUUAAAAAAAUAAUUCUUAAGGAGUGAAAAUAUUAAAAUAACUAUUAAUGCCUUCCAAUUUUUGGAUAUCUAAUACAAUGAAUUUUGUUCUUGGUGGAUAGGUAAAAUAUUUUCUUUUGUAUAAUUUAACAAACAAAAAAAAAAAGUAUUCAUUGUUUUCUCGCAAAACCAUCCUCUGGUAAAAAAUAAACAGGUAAAAAAUAAAUACAUAAAAAUAUGCAAAGAUAAUUAUAUAAGAGAUGUUAUUAGUGUAAAAUUUACAAUUGAAAAUAAACAAAUUAUAUAUGCAUUGCCUCUUCAAAUUUAAAUUAGCCUUUAUUCUAAAAAAAAAAAAAAAAAAGAUAAAAGUUUAGAUUCAAAUUGAUUUGAAAAUGUCAUUUCUAAACCAAAUGAAUAAACAGUUUCAGGUUUCAGCGUAAAGAUCUAAUUUAGCAUUGAAAUCAAUCCCAAAUCAUUUAAAUUAUAAAACUAUUUUAAAAUUAAUUAUAAUUUAUGUUUGCUGUUCAGUAUUAGAUAAUUUUAUGACAAACUUUAAUAUAUCAUUUAAGUGAAUUAAUUUAAAUUUUAAAUGAUAUGUAAAUACUAACAAUCUAAAUUAAAAUUGAAAAUAAUUGACAUUUUUAAUUUCAAGUGCAAAAUCAUAUCAUGAAGUAUCACAAUUUAAGUUCAAGCAUAUCAUAUGAAUAUGUGAAUCCAAAGUCUUUACUUCUAUAUACUCACCAGCUGCACUCAAUAAUUUAUGUAAGGAAAUGAUUAUAUAGUUGGUAUUUGUUCUUUCAAUAUAUAUAUAUAUAUAUAUAUAUAGUUGGUGUUUGAACUUUGCCCUUUUUAGUGUCUAAAAUUUUAUCUUUAUUGGGUAAAGUGUCUGCAUAUAUAAAUAAUUUUUUCAAUUAAGUACAUUUGAUUAAAUUUUUUAUAUUGAAAAUUUUAAAUAGAUAAUUCUUUUCCACAUAAAUAUUUAUUUUUAUAUUUUUAUUAUUUUUUUAAUUUUAAUGUCUUAUAGCUCUUUUUUUAAAAAAGAAAGACAAAAUUUUUUUAUACUAAUUUGAUCUCAAAGUAAAAUAAAAAGAGAGAGACAAAAUUUUUAUACUAUUUUAGAUUGGUUGGCUUCUCAUGCUUUCUCUCUUGGCCUUGGUGUCCAUCCUCUUGAUUAUCCUCCUGCUGAUAUUUUUUCUUUGAUUGUUAAUGGUUGUUGAUGUCUUGCUUCUAGGCAUUCUAUCGCCUCUUGUAGCUCCUCUUGAGCCUUAGAGCUCCCUUUAGUCCCCUAAAAAAAGAGAGAGACAAAAAUGAUAAUAUAAAAAAAUAUAUAGUGAAACAUAAAGAAAUAAUUCUUUUCAAUUUUCGACUAAAUACAUCUAAUUGGCAAUUGCUUUCAAAGAAAAAUGACAAUAAUAAAAAAGAAUUUAGGAGUUGAGACAAAUUCGACAUGCAUUUAUGAAAUGGUGGGCCUUUCUGCCAUUAAGUCUAACAAUAGUUUUUAUUAAAUCUAUUUUAUUAAUUUUGACACUUUUUGAUACUACCUCUGAUCCAUAAUACUUAUCACAUUUGACAUUUCACGUUUCUUAAAAAAAUCAUUAAAUUUGUCGAACUUAUAAUAAAUUAUUGAGUAAAUUGACUAUAUUUUUCCAAAAUUUAAUACUAAUUCUUUAAGAAAACCAUUAAAUUGAAAUAAUAAUUAUUGGUCAUAUAUAAAGGGGAAACAUGGAAACAUUUAUUACUCCUUGAAACCACAAAUGUGACAAGUAUUUUAGAACAAGUUAUUUUUUCAAUUGUGACAAGUAUUAUGAAAUAGAGGUAGUAUUUUUUUUUUCCAUUUAGAUAACACUUUUAGAAAAUUAAAGCAGUAUUAAUUAUUUUAUUUUUACUUUACUAUUUCUUCCAUUGGAACUAAAUUAAGUCUUUUGAGUAUUUUAAGGAGCAAUAGAUGAUGUUUUUCUAAUUUUACACUUAUAUUGAUUAGUAUUAAUGAUAAUUUAAUCAAAUUACCUUUAGUUUUGUUAUACUCUAAGAGAAUUAAUUGUUUCAUUAAUCCUUGUGCAAAAACCUUGAACGAGAGGGAGAAUUAUUUAGAUAUUUUCACCUAAUUUUUUCUUUUUUUUUUUUUUUUUUUUUUGAUAUCGAGGGAGUGUUUAGCCCUUGGCACUAAGGGAGAGAUGUAGUUCCUACUUUCUACCUCGGGUCUAUGCAAAUGCCUCUUCCAUAUAGAUCGGGAAAAUUUUUAAUACACAUGAGAUUAUGAUCCAUAAACAUUAGCGGGCUUAAGUCCAAGCAGGGUUGACUAACGGUUUGGAUGCCCCAAGAAUCGAAUCAUAAUUUUAUCUUUUAAUUAUAAAACACUAUUUAAAGGGUAAUUUAAUUUAUUAUCCUUAUUUCGUUUUCUUAAUUUUCAUGAAAAUGAAGUAAAUGUCAAAAUUAAUUGUAGGGAAUUGAAUAUCAUUUAUUUAUUACUAUAAAUAAGAGUGAGUAGAGAAGAAGGAAAUUGCAAAGUGGCAAAAGAAUUCAAUCAUCUCUCAAAAUGAAGUCCCUUGUCGCAAUUAUAUGCAUUCUCUUUGCAAUCUCUCUCUUCUCUUCCUCUUUAACCACAGCUCGAGAAUUAACACAGACAACUGGAUAGUAAUAUAAUUUCCAUUUGCUUAAUUAUGUUUCCUAAAUUUAAGAAUUAUCCUUCAUUAAAAUUCUUUGUUAAUCUCAAUCAUAAAAAUACUGCUACCUUAAUGACUUGCAACUUCUUCAAACUAAAAAAAAAAACCCUUUGACAAUUAGUUACUUUUGUAAUAUGAAUUACCAACAAGUUUUGAUUUAAUGAUAUUGAAGUCAUUUCUAGGGUUUUGAGUUCUCUGAGUUCAAAAAUAUGUACGUGGAUUCUUAAUUUCGUUAUAAAUAGAUUUAUUUUUAACUUUAACGGAAAAAUAAAUUUAACGUGUUAUUUAUAUAGAUGUGAAUGUCUUAGGUGAUGGUACUAUUGGCAUAGUCGACGAGCCUCAACCAAAUAGAGGGUAUCCAUACAAACCAAAUUGAAAUAUCUAUUUUUAUUUUUAUUAUUAGUCCUGGCAGCUCAAAUUCGUAAUUAUACGAAAUCGCAAAUAAAUAAUAAAAAAUGAGUAGAGUAUUGUCUCAUGAAAAUUAUAUGCUAAGAAUUAAAAUUGUAUUAAUCUAUCAUUAUUUACACGACAACAAGGAUAAUAUAUUUGAAAAUAAAAGAAAUAAAAUAGAACAAUAAGAGAGAAAUCAAAUAAGUAAUUAUUGAAAGAAAUCAAGGUUUAAAGGUUAUUAGAGAUUUUGACUUCACUUAAUUCUAUUCAAUGUAUCAUUUUAGUUUGAUAAAUUUUAAUUAUUCAAGAAGGUGAAAUAACCCUAAAAUCGCUAAUAAGUUCUCUCAAUAUUUUAUUAGCUAUUUUAACCAAUUCAAUUAUCCAUCUCUCAAUGACACAACCAAACAUAAAUUAAAUUAUUAAGUUUUAUGAUUAUUCAGAAAUUCACAAAUUAAUACUUUUAAUUUUAUAAAAACCUCUCACAAGUCAAACCAUUUAACUCUCGCAUUAAGUUGUUAUUCCCAUAAAAUUUAUUAUUCUAUUCAUAUCAAAAACCUUUCUCUCGAUAAUGAUUAAUGAAAUAAAUUAAUCAAUGGGAGAAAUUCUGUCUAGAAGAAUUAAGAUCAAUAAUAAAUUUUACUUGAAUAAAAAAAUUAAAUCUAAUAUUAUAAAUUGAAGUUGAAUUUAUGCUACAUAGUAUCCCCUAAAAGAUUUAGUUGGACAUAUAAAAAUUUAAUUUCUGGCUAUGUGGACAAUAAAUGUUCUCGAUUACAGUGUCUCGAGAACUUUAACUUCUGGCUUAAUUGCACUUUCUUAGUACUUAUGUGUCGUUUGUACUUUGAUUAUAUAUAUAUAAAAAAAAAAUACUAUUAAUGCAAUAAAAUUAGUCUAUCCAUUAUAUUUAAGUAUAUGGACUCUUAAUUUAAUUUCUUAUUAUACUGAUUCGCUUUUCAAUAAUGAAAGUUCCUUUCUUAUCUAUCUUAAUUUACAUUAAUGAUAUAAUUAGAAUUUAUUUAUAACCCAUAGGCUAUAUAUAAAGAUACAUUGAAAUUUUGGUUUAACGGACGAAACAUUUUAUUUCAAAAAAAUUAUGAGAAAAAAAAAUUGAUACGUGAUAUUAUAAAAAAAAAACAUUAAAUAUAGAUAGCUUAUCUUCUAGUAUCCAUUACUAGGGAUCAUCUGACCUGACUCGAGGCUCAAUUACAGUUAACGCUUCUCGACGCUCUCUGCAGGUGCGUUUAGUUGGGAUCGAAUCCAAAAGUUCUUUCCACAUGCCCAGUUUGCAAUACCAACUGAGCCUCAACUAGGGUUUUUUUUUUUUUUAAAUACCUUUUAACUUUUUUAUAUUAUGUAUGAAAUUUGAAAACAUUUUGAAAAUACAGAUAUGAUAUACAUCCAAUAAAUGUUAUUUAAUAUUUAUGUAGAUAGGCAAAAAUAUAGAGUCAUCUCCAGACGCGAAAGCCUUUCUCCUAGUAUGCAUACUGUUGGCUACCAUUUUCUUUUUCCUUACUUUCACUGCGGUGUUAGGGCCCGGUAAUAAAAUUACGAGAAUAAUAACACAGCAAAAAAAUAGAAAUAUAACACACAAAUAUUUACGUGGUUCACCCUUAACUGUUUAGGGCUACGUCCACGGGACAAAAACCGAAUAAUUCUUCCACUAUUAAAAAAUAGUAGGCUUACAAAGAGAGUAAUACAAAAUUGUGGCACUCAAAAGUGUUUUCCAAAUUAUCCUCACUAUUCUCUCUACCCGAGUUUUAGAACCCAAUUCUAAAACUGAAACUCUCAAANNNNNNNNNNNNNNNNNNNNNNNNNNNNNNNNNNNNNNNNNNNNNNNNNNNNNNNNNNNNNNNNNNNNNNNNNNNNNNNNNNNNNNNNNNNNNNNNNNNNNNNNNNNNNNNNNNNNNNNNNNNNNNNNNNNNNNNNNNNNNNNNNNNNNNNNNNNNNNNNNNNNNNNNNNNNNNNNNNNNNNNNNNNNNNNNNNNNNNNNNNNNNNNNNNNNNNNNNNNNNNNNNNNNNNNNNNNNNNNNNNNNNNNNNNNNNNNNNNNNNNNNNNNNNNNNNNNNNNNNNNNNNNNNNNNNNNNNNNNNNNNNNNNNNNNNNNNNNNNNNNNNNNNNNNNNNNNNNNNNNNNNNNNNNNNNNNNNNNNNNNNNNNNNNNNNNNNNNNNNNNNNNNNNNNNNNNNNNNNNNNNNNNNNNNNNNNNNNNNNNNNNNNNNNNNNNNNNNNNNNNNNNNNNNNNNNNNNNNNNNNNNNNNNNNNNNNNNNNNNNNNNNNNNNNNNNNNNNNNNNNNNNNNNNNNNNNNNNNNNNNNNNNNNNNNNNNNNNNNNNNNNNNNNNNNNNNNNNNNNNNNNNNNNNNNNNNNNNNNNNNNNNNNNNNCCUGCAAAGGUCAUCAGAUAUCCAGAAGUUGAUUUGCGCGAAUCAACAUCACCACCCAUAUCUGCAUCUGUGUAACCAUCUAACACAGGUCUAUUAUCACCAAAACAUAAGCACAUUUUGGAAGUGCCCUUAAGAUACCUGAGAAUCCACUUCACUGCAUUCCAGUGUUCUUUACCUGGAUUUGAAAGAAAUCGGCUAACAACACCAACAGCAUGAGCAAUAUCUGGUCUUGUGCAUACCAUGGCGUACAUCAAGCUGCCAACGGCGGAUGCAUAAGGAAUCUUCUUCAGUUCUUUUUUUUUCUCACUUGAAGGACAUUGAUCGAGACUUAAUUUGAAAUGACCUACAAGUGGAGUAGAAAUUGGUUUCGCAUUGCUCAUAUUGAAUCUGCUGAGAACUUUCUCGAUAUACUUUUCUUGAGACAGCCACAACUUUCUCUUUUUCCUAUCUCUAGAGAUCUUCAUUCGGAGUAUCUGUUUUGUCGAUCCCAAAUCCUUCAUGGCAAAGGAUUUUCCAAGUUCCUUUUUCAAGCUCUCAAUUUUCUUAGCAUCUUGGCCCACAAUAAGCAUAUCAUCCACAUAUAACAAGAGAAUAAUAAAGUCGCCUUCUAUGAACUUUUUCACAAAUACACAGUGAUCAGAAGUAGUUUUCUCAUACCCGUGAUUUACCAUGAAAGAGUCAAACUUUUUGUACCAUUGUCUUGGAGCUUGUUUGAGGCCAUACAAGCUUUUCUGCAAUUUACACACCAAGUGUUCUUUGCCUUUGACUCUGAACCCUUCUGGUUGCUCCAUAUAAAUUUCCUCCUCUAAGUCANNNNNNNNNNNNNNNNNNNNNNNNNNNNNNNNNNNNNNNNNNNNNNNNNNNNNNNNNNNNNNNNNNNNNNNNNNNNNNNNNNNNNNNNNNNNNNNNNNNNNNNNNNNNNNNNNNNNNNNNNNNNNNNNNNNNNNNNNNNNNNNNNNNNNNNNNNNNNNNNNNNNNNNNNNNNNNNNNNNNNNNNNNNNNNNNNNNNNNNNNNNNNNNNNNNNNNNNNNNNNNNNNNNNNNNNNNNNNNNNNNNNNNNNNNNNNNNNNNNNNNNNNNNNNNNNNNNNNNNNNNNNNNNNNNNNNNNNNNNNNNNNNNNNNNNNNNNNNNNNNNNNNNUCCCCCUUGAGUCAAUAAGUCAUACUCAUUAGGAGAAUAUCUCUGGGAAGGUAUCCUGCCUCUCGCAGAUCUUCUCAAUUGAGGCAGUUCUUCUAUUGGAGCUGGUUCAGCAUCAUUCUGAACAGGUUCAUCAUCAUCUUCGUCAUCAUUUUGUGGUUCUACACGAGGUUCUGCAUCAAGACUAACAGGAAACUCAUUGAUAGACUUUGGCUUUUCAUUUUUCUCAAAGUCUUCAAUGGUUUGAUCUUCCAGGAAUACGACAUCUCUGCUUCUGAUGAGCUUCUUUUCAACUGGAUCCCAUAAUCCGUACCCAAAAUCAUCAUUUCCAUAACCCAAGAAGAUACACUGUUUGGACUUCAAAUCAAGCUUGGAUCUUUCAUCUUUUGGAAUAUGAACAAAAGCCCUACAGCCAAAUAUUUUAAGAUGAUCGUAAGAAAUAUUUUUCCCUGACCACACCUUUUCUGGAACAUCUCCUUUGAGGGAGGUUGAAGGUAAAAGGUUGAUCAAGUAAACUGCAGUAUUCAUUGCUUCAGCCCAAAAGGUUUUAGGAAGUUUAGCAUGAGAGAGCAUACAUCUAAUCCUUUCAACAAUGGUUCUAUUCAUUCUCUCUGCAACUCCAUUCUGCUGUGGAGUUUUGGGAACUGUCUUCUGAAGUCUGAUGCCGUGUUCUGAGCAAUACUUUUCAAACGGUCCUCUAUACUCACCACCAUUAUCAGCUCUAACACAUUUUAACUUUCUUUCCGUUUGUCUUUCAACACUGACAUGAAAGACUUUAAACAUAUCCAGCACCUGGUCUUUUGACUUUAUUGGANNNNNNNNNNNNNNNNNNNNNNNNNNNNNNNNNNNNNNNNNNNNNNNNNNNNNNNNNNNNNNNNNNNNNNNNNNNNNNNNNNNNNNNNNNNNNNNNNNNNNNNNNNNNNNNNNNNNNNNNNNNNNNNNNNNNNNNNNNNNNNNNNNNNNNNNNNNNNNNNNNNNNNNNNNNNNNNNNNNNNNNNNNNNNAACUCAGCAGAUGAAUCUUCAACUGCAUUCACUACUCCUGUGCAAACUUUAGCCUGGGUGUAGUAGAGGGAGUUGAACUUUCUUCCUCGACCGAACACCAAGUUAUCUUUGGAAAGCUUCCACAUUCUGUUAACAAAUAGAUUUGCAUAGCCCAAUUCAUCAAGACAAUGAACUGAGAUCAGAUUGAAGUUUGCUGUAGGAGUGUAUGUCACAUCUUCCAACCAGAGAUCAUAACUAUUUUGAUGCAUACUGUUCCAAUGCCGCAAUUUCCACAUAUGUGCCAUUCAAAGUCUUGACAUGGCCGUAAUCUCCGAGGGUAAGGGAUGAGAAAUAUUCCUUCUUUGAAGAAAUAUGAUAAGAACAUGCAGAGUCAAUAAUCCAUAAAGAUUGUUNNNNNNNNNNNNNNNNNNNNNNNNNNNNNNNNNNNNNNNNNNNNNNNNNNNNNNNNNNNNNNNNNNNNNNNNNNNNNNNNNNNNNNNNNNNNNNNNNNNNNNNNNNNNNNNNNNNNNNNNNNNNNNNNNNNNUUCUGCAGUGCCUUUGGAUGUGACCGGGCUUGCCACAAUGAUAGCAGGUGACACCUUUUCUUGACUUGGAUCUUCUCCGUGAAUUGUCACGUUUGUCUGGAUUUUGAGGAUAUCUGGUUUUGCUUCUCCCUCUCCUUUCUGUAACUGUAAGGAGUGCAUCUGAGUUGCUACUCAUACCAUUCUCCUUACGUCUAGUUUCUUCAUUUAUAAUGCUUUCCUUAACUGUGGUUAAGGUUAUAUUCCCCUCUGACACGUUACUGAGUGUAACAGUCAACGUCUCCCAACUGUCUGGCAAGGAACUCAAUAAGAAUAGUGCCUGCACCUGGUCGUCAAACACUAUUUUUGACGUCGUCAGUUGGUUCACUAUUUCUUGAAAUUCGCCCAAGUGAUCUGAAGCACUUUCGCCAUCUCUGUACUUUAGAUUUACAAGCUUUUUAAUUAAAAAAGCUUUGUUCUGGGCAUUCUUCCGCUCGUACAUGUCCUCCAACUUCUUCCAGAUUGAAUAAGCAUCUUUCUCAUGAGCGAUAUGAUUUAUGACGCUCAUUUCAAAAGACUGCCUAAUAUUUGCGACUGCUUUUCUAUUAAUCGAUUUUCAAUCAGUCUCAUUUAUUGAAGUUGGCCUGACUCCUUUCAACUCAAUCGUUUCAAAAAGAUCUUUGCAGCAUAGAAGAUCUUCCAUUAAUAUCUUCCAUAUUGCAUAGUUUGAUGAGUUGAGUCUAACCAUUGUGCCUGUUGUUCUGUCGUCCAUUUUUGACUUGUGCAGAAUAUUAACACCAACAGAAUCCGUAUACGCAAAUAGUAGUAUACGUGAAUAGUGACCGUAUGCUUGAAUAGUAAUAGUAUAUGUAAACAGUACCUAUAUUCGUGAAUAGUAACUGUAUACGUGAAUAUUACUAUGCGUGAAUAGUGCUGGGCUUACUUAAAACGACUCAGCAACAGUAACGCCAAUAGUACUGGUCACCAUCAACUUUGAGUUACUAUUUUACUAUUCAUCACUAAGUCGAUUCUGCAACGUAGUUCCGAACGGACUGCACCAAUGGUCUCGGAGUAAUUUUCUCGUUGUCGUGGUAUAUUUAUUUUCAAAAUAUAUCCACGGAUCCGGUAAAUCUGGCUCUGAUACCACUUGUUAGGGCCCGGUAAUAAAAUUACGAGAAUAAUAAUACAGCAGAAAAAUAGAAAUAUGACACACAGAUAUUUACAUGGUUCACUCUUAACUGUUUAGGGCUACGUCCACAGGACAAAAACUGAAUAAUUCUUCCACUAUUAAAAAAUAGUAGGCUUACAAAGAGAGUAAUACAAAAUAGUGGCACUCAAAAGUAUUUCCUAAAUUAUCCUCACUAUUCUCUCUACCCGAGUUUUAGAACCCAAUUCUAAAACUGAAACUCUCAAAAAACUCUCUUUUUUGUUCUGUCGCUCGGUUGUGUGUAUUAAGAUGGCUGAGCCAUCUCCUAUUUAUAGGAGAGGGUGGACGCGUUAAUUACGCGUCCACCGAAAUACAGGUCACCUACCAAAGAAAUCUCCUAUUUCCAUCUUUUCUUUUUCAACUACGAGGUGAUUCUCAUAUCUAACGAUUCUCUUACGGUCUUAUCUAACAAACUCAGUGAAAAAAUCAAUAUAAGUCAAUAUAAAGAAAACGAAAACGAAAUAGGAGAAUUUAUCUUUUACAGUCUUACCCAACAAACUCAAUGAAAAAGUCAAAAUAAGUUAAUAUAGAGAAAUCGAAAACGACGCAAGAGAAUUUAGUUAUAUUAAAAGGUGAAGAUAAUGAGGGCUUGAAUUUGGAAAUGAUAAUGAAUAUUAUGGAUUUGGAUAGGAAAUUUUAAUGGCUUUAUAGUUUUACUUUGUUUUAUGUUAAAAUUUUAAACUUGAUAGUUUGAUAUUUUAAACUUACAACACGCAAGUGAUUAAGUUAUUUUCAUUUUUUAUUUAGUAAAUAAUUUAGAAUUGAAAUUUAUAUAAAUACAUUAAUUAUUUGCACUUAAUUUUUAGUAUUUUAUGGCAGAAUUAAUACUGAAUCUUCGAUUCUCGAUCCUCGAUUCUAAAGAUAAAGAUUUCAAAUCUUGAAAAUGAAAUUUCCUCCUAGCAAUAUUUUGAUUUGUCCGACAGUCUACUAGUGAUCGAAUCUCUGGCUAUGUCUUGCAUUGACUUGGAGUCAAUUUCGUAAGUCUAUUUUCCUGGCUUUGCUAUAAUUAUUAAUUUAUUAAUUUAUUAUAAUAGCCAUACAAUUGCUUGGAAAAAUCUAUAUAUGGAUUUACUGUGGAGUCAAGUAGGAAUUAAAUCUUUGGCUUUAUAUAUUUUUUAACGUAUACUGCAAAUAAUUAUGCUAUUAGAAUUCAAAAUUGGCUUGUUGAUUUAUUACUAUAAAUAAGAGUAGUUGAAAAAUAUAGGAUCAUCUCCAACAUGAAGGCGGCCUUUCUCCUAAUAUGCAUUCUCUUGGCUACCAUUUUCUUUUCCCCUUCUCUCACUUCAGCUAGAGAAUUUCCUGCUAUGGAGAAAGGAAUAAUCUUUUUUUUUUGUUAUUAUUAUAGACCGAAACUGAACUUAAAUAUGCAAAAGUUUACAAAGGUUCAAGCCAGACGAAUUCAUAAUUUUUUUUUAUAAAUUGGAGUAAUAAACGCGUUUAUCUUGUAAUAAUGCAGUUAAAUUUACAAUAAAAUAUAUGCAAUGGAGUUUAAAUUCUCCUUUUAAUAAUUUCUGAUGUAUAUACCAAUAUGAAUUAAUAUCAGAUGCAGGAAUAACAGGGCCAGUAGCAGCUGAUCCCAAAAAACCACCGUUUGAAUGCGGCCGUGGGAAUAGAUACUGUCUGCCCUAUCGCAAUAAAAGACACCCACCUUGUGGCCCUUACGGUUGUUCUCUGGUUACGAAACCUUGAAUAUAUAUAUAUAUAUAUAUAUAUAUAUAUAAUGAUGAAUAAAUAAAAACGAGUGUUAAUGUCAAAAAAAAAAAAAAAAGAAAAAAGAAAAAACGAGUGUUAUGAACUUGCCAACUAUAUAUAUGUCAAGACUUUUAUAUUUACCGAGGUGUUAUCCUAGAAUUGUCCCUCUUUUUAUAUGUAGUAAUUUUAUUUUGACUGGCAUUGGACGUUAUUUAGGUAUUUAUAAUUUUAUCUUUACAUAUAUAAUUUUUUAUCUACAACAUAAUAUAAUAUGAUAUGAUCAACCGUUUAUAUUAUUAAAGUAUGUGAGAGUAUACUAAUAUUUUAAAUUGAUGGGAUAAUUCAAAUUGGGGUGAGAAUUAAUGGUUAAAAAUGAAAAAUCAAAUUAUUUUGACUUGCACAAUUAAUCUUAAAUCUUGAAUGAAAUAAUAAUACCCGAAAUAAAAGUAAAUAUUUGUUACCCACUCCAUUGAAUACUCGCCCGAAUUUAAUUCAAAUGAGGCGGGUAAAAUUUAAUAUAUUUAAGAAAGAGGCGGAUGUGAAUUAAAAAAUAUAUAUAUAUAUGACAUGGUUAUUACCUGCUCCAUUUUAUUUAAAAACAUUAAGCUAAUGUUUUCUAUUUCUAUUUUUAUUUUCUUUUAUAAAAUUUAUCUAAACAUGGUCUGUCCUGUGACCUGUCCACUCUAAUUAAAAUCGAUAGUGAGACAAAAAUGUAUUUAAUUUUCAUAUCGGAUAGAGGUAUUAGAAAACCCGCCUUAUACCUGAUCCAUUAUCAUUCCUAACUCUUAUAUAAGAUAAACUCUUAAUUUAAUAUUUGUCAUUUGUUGAUUUAAAAGAUUUAAUCGAGUGAUAAUAAUCUAAAAAAGAAGAGAAAUUCAAAUCUCACCAAUUUAGAAAUUUAAAAAAAAAAAAAAUUCCGAUGAUAAAAUUAUUUUUCUGGUAUGAGAAAAAAAGUAUACUUUCACAACAAAAUGGUUCAAUUUUCAAUUGAUGCAGUCAACCCUUGUCACUUUUCCACAACAAAGAACCAACAAAUUUUGGAAAAAAGAAAUUUCUUGCACAGAAUCUGUUGGUGGGGUACUUUAAGUAAUGACUAAUGCAUAGUAACAAUAGGACCUAUUUUAUUAUAUUAAAUUUAGCCAAAUGUAUAAAUUCACUUUGCAUUUUGUAUAAAAAUAUUUUGUGGUAUUUUCAAUUUCUAAUUUGACCAUAGAAAAUUUUAAUUUAUAAAAUUAUAUAAUUAAACACUUUAAUUUAAUUAUUUUUUAUAUUAAAUAUUUUAACUUGUAAAAUUGAAUCAAUUGAAUACUUAUUAAAUAGUUAAAAAUGUGAAAAUUUGUUAUUCUAAAAAUUAUAGUAACCAAAAUAUAAAAUCAAUGCUUUUACAUAGAAAAUUCAAAAGUAAAAAAAAUGAAUGUUACAUUGUUUGAAAGCUCCAAAAUCAUAUAUAGAUGAGAAUUUUGUUCUUACACAUUAACAUAAGAAGAAGGAAAAAACAUAUCUAUUAUUUCAAUUUAAUAUAAUUUCUUUUCAACCUCCCACGAUGAUUAUUGAAUUUCUUCUCAUUAUUAUUGUAUUUCCUUCCUUAUUCCAUUCGAGCUACUAGACAUAUAAAUAG